AAACCGUUCAGGGGUAAACCUGAGAAACCCAAAAGAUCGAAUGGGGAGAUUCAGCGUCAGCCGUUAAUGCUUGGCUUGCGUGUGGCUCGCGAUGCGAUCGGACGCGCCUUCGCGGGUGUGCUCCUGUCGCACGCGGUCGCUGCGUCAUGUCCGGCGCGGUAGGCGUGCACUUCUCCCCUAGUAGGACGUCGCGACCCGUUGGGUGUCGAUCUACGGCCCGCCGGUGUCGACUGCAGCGCGAGCGCGUGUCAAAGCGUUGCUCUUGCGUUGCAGACCCGGUGGUGUUUGCCCGAUCGACUGCCCGGCGGUAAAGAUUCAGUUGAUAUGGUAAUGGGUCGCACGCAUUUUUUUUUGCGAUGCGUACUUGGCUCUCAGGCAGAUCGAUCUCGCUCGGCGUUACGGACUUUGCGCCGUUGUCGGGUGCUUGAUCGGUCGUUACGCCUGGCGAUGUCCUCGUACCGGCCCGCUAUUAAUACCGGUCAGCGACGCUACUGCUUUGGGUACUUUCAGGACCCGUCUUGAAACACGGACCAAGGAGUCUAACAUGUGCGCGAGUCAUUGGGACUUGAAACAAAGCCUAAAGGCGCAAUGAAAGUGAAGGUCCGCUUUGAUGCGCGACCGAGGGAGGAUGGCUCCCGCCACGACGCGGAGCCCGCACUCCCGGGGCGUCUCGUGCUCAUCGCGAGCUGAGGCGCACCCAGAGCGUACACGUUGGGACCCGAAAGAUGGUGAACUAUGCCUGGUCAGGACGAAGUCAGGGGAAACCCUGAUGGAGGUCCGUAGCGAUUCUGACGUGCAAAUCGAUCGUCGGAACUGGGUAUAGGGGCGAAAGACUAAUCGAACCAUC
rnacentral:rRNA from 1 species